GGCGGAUGUAGCCAAGAUGGAUCAAGGCAGUGGAUUUGUGAAUCCACCA
rnacentral:tRNA from 1 species